AUACUUUCUCGAAAACGUUGCUAGCUCUUAGACCAUUACUGGACUUAUCUUUUGACACUGUCGAUUUCGCAACUUUGGGUUUCAAAAUAUUUACAUUUUCGGCUAAUACGCACUUAAGAAAAAUACAAAGUUACGAAAACUAUUACAUGCCUGUCAAAAUCAUAUGGUUGGUGAGAGUGCUUAAUUCAACAACCAAUAUAAUGAAUCUAAUUAAUUAAUCGUAGGUAUUUAAGCGGCAUUUAUUUAGAUUAUUGUAAUUGCAACACUCAGUGUAAUCAACGUAGUUAAUCAUGGGUUACUAAGGUGCAUCAAAAUACAAAAAAGGAAGUGGAAACAUUAAAGUGACCAGUACCUAGAAAAAGACGUCCACAGGUCCACGACAUGAAGAAUUAGGUACCUACCGAAAAAGGAUGCAGUUCAAAAGAAGAUGGUGCAGUAAUGGAACAUCACAAGAAAUCUGAAGAGGCUAAAGUACCUUAAGAGAAUCAAAUGUAAAUAUUAAAGCUAAUAAAUGUUUUUAUUUUUA
rnacentral:lncRNA from 1 species